CUUCGGCAUCAGAGCGACCUCGGGCUGUCCGAUGGGGCUCAGGGUGGCAUCCACACAGGCAGUGCCCAGAGCUUGACCCACAGCCAGCUAGCUCUCUGUGGCCGAAGGCAGCGGUGACCCCUCCCACUGGGGCCCAGAUACAACGGGUGGAGCGGAGGGCAGUGGGGCCCUCCGAAGCCUUUGCACUCUCAGGGAUGCCCCCGAGCGAGCCCGUGGGACCCCAAAAUGGGACAGCUACAGAGGCUGCAGGGGUGAGGGAGAAGGAAACACAGACCUCACCUCUACCACUCUGCAGGCAGAAGGAACAGCCAAUGCAGUUGACCCAGGCGAGCUGGAAACAGGCCAGCCGGCCACAGUGGGGGACUGGCUCAACCCACCAUGGUCAAGGCUUCCUGGGGGCCACACGGCCACACAGAAGAGGGUCCUGGGACCACAGCCUGCAAAAGAGAAAGAACCCAUGUCCAUCACAGAAGUCUGUCUGUCUUGGAUAAGGCACAACCCUCCUCUAGUGAAGGAAAGAAGACCAAUGGUUGCCUGGGGCUCAAGGAGCUCCCCAAGUCCCCCAGGCAAAGCAGAAGCUCUGUGCGAGUGGAAAGAGCCUCACGCGGGGGCUCCUGAGGCCACGGCGCCCGCCUUCCUGCGGCGCAUCCAUCUUGUUACUGCCGAGCUGGAGAAUUGCUCCCGGGGCCGAAUCUUGAAUAUUCAUCUGAUUUACGGCCCGCUGCCGACAGCUUUAUGAAUCCGCCCACCAAUACCUGCAGCCGGUCAUCAAUCUUCCCCCGAGAUUGUGCUUCUGCCAGUAACUCAUGAAUUAAAGAGGCCCCCGGCGGCCCCCACGCCUCCCUCCCCUCGCGGCGCGGCGGGAUGGAAGGAGGGCCUGACCAGAAGUCAAAACACUCUUGUCGUCUUGCGGUGGUGGCGGCUCUGGGUGACCUUGGAUGACUCGCUCAGACUGUCCACAGUGAGCAAGAGAAACUUGGGAGCCUUCAGAUCUGCCUCUUCCCAGCUGUGAGCCUCAGUUUCCCCACCUGGAGAGACGGGGGCAGUAGCACCUCUGUCUGCUUCCCUGGGUGGGGGGCCGAGGCAGGUGGGGGGCGAGCGAGCCGUUCCGUGGCAGGGCAUUUGGACCUGUCUGCAGGAGCGAGGGAGAUGGUGGUGCUCACAGCGAGCCCCCCACCAUCUCUCGUACGCAGUGUGAGAAUGAAGGCAGCAUUUCCUUCGAGGGCUUUCGGGGGACCCCAGGAGGCACUGAGAAGGCACUCAGCACAGUGCUCUGCACCUGGCAAGCACUCGAUGGGGGGUGGAUGUGAGGAUUGUUUAUCUAGGAAGGCACAAAUGUCAUCAGCUUAGCUCUGGGCUCAGGAAGCAGCUCUGAAGUGUUGGCAGAGCCCACCCUCAGCAGGGACCCCUGACCAAAAACUGCUGCCCAAAGCCCAGGGCCAUGUCCAGUUGGCUGGCAUGGGAGCCCCCCAGAGUCUGCCACAGGGAUAACACUCAGCAAAUGGUCCCCAGUUGCUCAAACUUUCACCCAACCACUGGUAGUGUCUGCAGAGCGUUGGGGGAACCCAGGCCUGGCUCCACCUGGGUCAGUAGAUGGCUGGAAGGCAGACAGCGGCAGGUAGAUGUAGCCCCUCUGGACUCAGACACAUCGGGGUUCAAAUCCUGUCCUGCCCUGAGCAUCCAGGGACCUUGGCAAGUCUCUCACCCCGUGAGCCCCAUAAGCUGGAUCUUGGUGCCAUGGCUGCCUCGGGUGGGGGGGAGGCUGGGGGCUCAGAGAGGCAGCCUGCUGUAAGUGCCUUCUCUGCCACAUGGGAGCCCACAGGAGUGUCGGCCCCAAUGGGUGUCACUGAAUGUCUGGCUGACACCAGGCACCGUUCUGGGCACCGGUGGGGUGGGGUGAGGGUUAGUCCAGAUCCUGUUCCUCAGUGGCUCGCUCAACAGAGGUUCAUCAGUCUCUUCAGACCACAAAAAGCUCAGGAGACCCGUCCCCAAGGACCCACUGAGGGACAGCCCCUCCCCAGGUCCCAGCUCCCACCCAUCUCUGCAGUGUGGCAGUGUCCCCCGGAACUGUGGCUUGCUGCAACGGCAUCAUCCCUGCCAGCCUUCGGGGUGCCCUUCCCAAGCCGACACGCCAGCCGAUCAAUCCUCCCCUCCGCACCGUGCCACGGCUCCGGCCUGGGGGUCCUGCCCACAGCACGGCUCCUUUGUCCGACGGGCGCUCCCCUACAGAGCCCCAGGACACAAGGGAGGCAGUCAUCGGAACGAGCUGACAUGUACUGGGCACUUACUGUGUGCCAAGCAUGUUCAGAACAGCUGACGUGCACCCCUUCUCUGAACCCCCACCAAGAGGAAGGUCGUGUUAUUAUCUCUCUGGUACAAAGCAGGGAGCCGAGGCAUAGAGAGGUAAGGGGACUCACUCGAGGUCACACAGCUCAGAAGUGGCUGACACCAGAGCCUACGCCCUCACCCCCUGCCGUGCCCACUGCAGCCCAGCGCAGCUGCCCCUUGCCCCGUGAAGUGUGCGUGGCACCAUGAGGGUUCAGUGAGACUCUGCUCCUUGAAAAUGAACUAUCUGACCUGGGGAGUCACCUCACCACUCUGAACCUCAGUCUCCUCUUCUGCAAACUGAAAACAGUGGGCCCACUCGCUGCUGGAAUGUGGGCUGGAUCCACCGUGAAGAGGUACCUAAAGCCCCAGCCUGGUGCAGGGCCACGGGGAAUGCUCUCCCCUUCUGGCCAUGCUGCUCUGCACCUGGACCCCCUGGAUGUCAGAAGUCCACCACUAACCAGCCUAAUCCUGGGAGAAGGGUACCUUGGAAGGAGGUAAAGGGGGAGGCGGAGGCCAAAGCUGGGAGCACCAGCUUACCUACUUGGCAUUGCCUGCAGAGGGGUGGAGGGUGGAGGGGUGGAAGAGCCUGAAGCUCACCAGGGAAAAGGUCUCAGCUUCUGGGAACAGCAUUUCCCUGGGGCUUCAGCCUCCACCACUAGGGUUUCUGAUCUAUGGACUUUUCACCUUGGCAUCGGCUUCCCGAACACGUUGGCAGUAUUUACCCUGUGGGAGGAGGAAGGGGCCCGAUAGAUGGUGUGCGCAUGCACGCUAGAGCAGAACAUCAGCCAGGGCAGCUGGAUCCGGGCCUUCGAGAGCCCCCAGCUCCUGGAGCCUCAGAUGUAGGCUUCCCUCCUGGUCUUUCGUCCUUGCUCUCUGGCCCCAUCCUCCUUCAACUCUUGCUCUUAGGACUAAAACGCUGGUGGUUGGGAAGAUGCCAAACUCACAGCCCCCCUCUCUGGGGAUUUACACCCAGGGUGGAGACCAGGGCUAAAAAUCCAAGCUCCCACCUUUGCUAGCUAUAAGAACGCCCCUACUGCCUCAUCUACAGAAUGGGGGAUCAUAAUAACACCCAAGUCUCCAGGUUGAGAGGAGGAACUAAAGAAGGAUGCCUGGAAAGUGCGCGCACACACAAGCAUUCAGCAAGUGGCAGGUGUUGUCUCCAGCCAUAUGGGUGCCCAGUAAAUGUUCGCUAUAGGUGGAUGGCGGGAGAGAGGAUAAAUGGAUGGAUGGAUGGAGGACAGACAAAUGAACGUAUACUUGAAUGGAUACCUAGAUAGGUAAAUAGAAGUAGGUGGACAGACAGAUAGUGGAUGUGCAGUCACUAUCCAUCCAUUGAUUUAUCCAUCCGUCCAUCCACCCAUCCAUCCAUCCAUCCAUCCAUCCAUCCAUCCAUCCAUCCAUCCAUCCUUCCUACCAUCUCUGUUGGAUGUGUGCUUGCGCACACGGCUAGGUAGAUAGAGAAUGGGACAGAUAGGAAGACAAAUACACAGACGGAUGGGUAGAUGAGUGAAUAAAUGGGUGGCUGGCUGGCCCGAUGGGUGGAUGGAUGGUGGGUGGGUAGAUGUUCCAAUGGACAACUGAAUGAAUGAACAGAUGGAGAGAUAGAUGAAUGGACAGAUGGAUUGCUGGAUGGCUGGGACCAGAAACUAAAUGCUAAAUUGCCUCCCUCCCGAAGGUGGUAAUAACAAUUGCUUCAGCUCCUGCCUGGUACCACAUACAUUAACACGGCCACAGGGGGCCGGAACGCCGCAGCCUGCACAAUCUGCUCAUUAACUGACUCACGGAGCUUUUCACCUAUUCGAAACCAACAGGGUGGCAGCGUGACAUUUAAGAUUUCCUUUCAGCAAUCACUUGCUUGGCCUUUCACAGAACACAGCGUACGGCUGUUCGCUGGCUUAUGUUCUCCUCCAAAGGUGCCCGUGAGCCCCCCAUGUGGUUCCAGGUUCCCCAGGGCUCGGGGGGGUGUGCCCCCAAAAGUUGGGAGCCCCUUCCCCCUCAGCUGCCUUGCCACACUCUCUCUCUGCAGAAGUGCUACCAGUUACCUUAAUUACCCUUCAGUUAGGGGGUUUCAUUUAUAACGGAGUGGCGAGGAAGUAUUGGAGAAAGAGUCUCCUUGGCAACCAAGUUUUUAAACACAAGAAUUCUCCGAGUUUUAAAGCCACUUCUCAUCUAAUUUCCCCCCUGAAAAUUAGCUUGGAACUUUUCAGAUGCUGAAAUUUUUAGCAGAACAGCAGGCUAGCACUUAUGUCUGAAACCAUAAAAGACCUAGAUUUCUCCCCUGCCAGAGGCAAGAGCCUGGGAAGUUGUUCAAUUUCCGGUGCCACUUUGUUCUUGGUGGAGAAGCAGGAACUGCCACAGCCAUUAUGAAGUAACCACGGAGAGCCACAUUUUCUGACCUGCAGUCGGUCACACUCCCCACGCCAACCUGUUUCCUGGACUCAGGUUGUUCAAGAUCCCCAUCGUCUGAGUUCUGCCAUGUGGGCUGGAUGGAGAGACCCCUGGGACAAUCGAGUGGUCUGGGCCCAGCUCCCCAGGUUGAGAAGGAUGGCACCAACCAGCACCCCAAAGUGGAAAGCAUACCAUUUCAGAUUUCAGGGUCUGCUCUCCACUGAGGUUUCUCUCACUAAAAGCCUCCUGUCUCCUCCCUGUGCCAACAAAAUGAAUCCCAGCUCAGGUCCACGGCUUGGUUUUUCAUAAUCUGCUCCAGCCUGGGGCACCCACUCCAACUCUCUCCACUUCCCAUGGUCCACACACCUUACUAGGACCAAGCCAUGUUUCUGCCCACUCAGCUUCCAACUGUCUAGAUGGCACUUACUCCCAACUCACGGUGCACCGAUCCUCAAACUUUCCACCCUCAGCCCGCCUUGAUCCUUGCUUGUGCCCCUUAAUCCACCUGCAAUUCCUAUACUCUGUCCUUUCGACCCUGGCUUUCCAAACUUGACAUCAUUUUACUAGGGCUGCUCACAUGCCACUUCCUCUGAACCGUUGUAGCAAUCUGUCUACACCCCUGAGAACAUCCAGCUUUUCUGCUCUGUCCAGCUUAGCAGUUACCUCGUCCUGAAGACACAUGGUAUUGUGGGAAAAUCAGGCAGAACUGAUUAAGCUUCUGGCUCUCACAGCUUGGGAGGUGCAUUGCCCUGGUGAGAAGAUGAAAGGGUGGAUGGAAGGGAGAUGAAGGGUUUACAUCUAAUGGACCCUACAGUGGUCAGAUGAGCCCCUAAGUGGAGGUUGGAUGGUCAACUGGGUAGAUGUGUGGAUGGAUGGAGGGCAGGCGGAGGCAUAGAUGGUUGGAAGAUAAAGAAAUGGAUAAUUAAGUGGAAGGGUAAGGGGCUGGAUUGA